rnacentral:rRNA from 1 species
GAUGAACGCUGGCGGCGUGCCUAAUACAUGCAAGUCGAGCGAACUUAACUAAAUGAAUGCGGUGCUUGCACCAAGUGAUUUUAGAGCGGUGAGCGGCGGAUGGGUGAGUAACACGUGGGUAACCUGCCUCUAAGCAGGGGAUAACAUUUGGAAACAGAUGCUAAUACCGUAUAAAUCCUAAAACCACAUGGUUUUAGGCUGAAAGGCGGCUUCGGCUGUCACUUAGAGAUGGACCCGCGGCGUAUUAGCUAGUUGGUGAGGUAAUGGCUCACCAAGGCAAUGAUACGUAGCCGAACUGAGAGGUUGAUCGGCCACAUUGGGACUGAGACACGGCCCAAACUCCUACGGGAGGCAGCAGUAGGGAUUCUUCCACAAUGGACGCAAGUCUGAUGGAGCAACGCCGCGUGAGUGAAGAAGGCUUUCGGGUCGUAAAACUCUGUUGUUGAAGAAGAACACGUUUGAGAGUAACUGUUCAGACGUUGACGGUAUUCAACCAGAAAGCCACGGCUAACUACGUGCCAGCAGCCGCGGUAA